AACACUGUUAACCUGCGGUACCUGCGGAGGGAUCAUUAAUGAUUGACCGAAAGGUCUUAUCUUGACAUCCCUCACCUCUGUGAACCGUUUGACCUCCGGGUCUAACAAAACAAUACAAACAUCAGUGUAACGAACGUCUUGUUAUCUUAACAAAAACAAAACUUUCAACAACGGAUCU
rnacentral:misc_RNA from 1 species